rnacentral:rRNA from 1 species
CCUACGGGUGGCAGCAGUGGGGAAUAUUGCACAAUGGGGGAAACCCUGAUGCAGCCAUGCCGCGUGUGUGAAGAAGGCCUUCGGGUUGUAAAGCACUUUCAGCGAGGAGGAAAGUUUGGCGCCUAAUACGUGUCAACUGUGACGUUACUCGCAGAAGAAGCACCGGCUAACUCCGUGCCAGCAGCCGCGGUAAUACGGAGGGUGCAAGCGUUAAACGGAAUUACUGGGCGUAAAGCGCACGCAGGCGGGUGGAUAAGUUAGAUAUGAAAGCCCCGGGCUACACCUGGAAAUUGCAUUUAAAACUGUCCAGCUAGAGUCUUGUAGAGGGGGGUAGAAUUCCAGGUGUAGCGGUGAAAUGCGUAGAGAUCUGGAGGAAUACCGGUGGCGAAGACGGCCCCCUGGACAAAGACUGACGCUCAGGUGAGUAAGCGUGAGGAACAAACAGGAUUAGAUACCCCUGUAGUC